rnacentral:rRNA from 1 species
AUUGAACGCUGGCGGCAGGCCUAACACAUGCAAGUCGAGCGGGGUUUUCGGACCUAGCGGCGGACGGGUGAGUAAUGCGUAGGAAGCUGCCCGAUAGAGGGGGAUACCAGUUGGAAACGACUGUUAGUACCGCAUAAUGUCUACGGACCAAAGUGUGGGACCUUCGGGCCACAUGCUAUCGGAUGCGCCUACGUGGGAUU